GUCCUAGCCCUAAACGAUCAGGACUUGGGGUGCCGCCCGUUCGGGCGUCGUCCCGGAGCUAACGCGUUAAGUCCUGCACCUGGGGAGUACGGUCGCAAGACUGAAACUCAAAGGAAUUGAUGGGGGCCCGCACAAGCGGUGGAACAUGUGGUUCAAUUCGACGCUACGCGAGGAACCUUACCUGGGCUCGAAAUGCUAGUGACCAGCUUUAGAAAUAUUGCCUUCCCGCAAGGGACACUAGUAUAGGCGCUGCAUGGCUGUCGU
rnacentral:rRNA from 1 species